AGGACGAACGCUGGCGGCGCGCUUAACACAUGCAAGUCGAACGUGAAGCUGGAGCUUGCUCCGGUGGAAAGUGGCGAACGGGUGCGUAACACGUGAGCAACCUGCCCCGAAGAAUGGGAUAACACCGGGAAACCGGUGCUAAUACCGGAUACCUUCUUCCGAUCGCAUGGUUGGAUGAAGAAAUGGAUUCCGCUUCGGGAUGGGCUCGCGGCCUAUCAGCUUGUUGGUGAGGUAACGGCCCACCAAGGCGACGACGGGUAGCUGGUCUGAGAGGACGACCAGCCACACUGGGACUGAGACACGGCCCAGACUCCUACGGGAGGCAGCAGUGGGGAAUCUUGCUCAAUGGGCGAAAGCCUGAAGCAGCGACGCCGCGUGCGGGAUGAAGGCCCUCGGGUUGUAAACCGCUUUCAGCAGGGACGAAAUUGACGGUACCUGCAGAAGAAGGCCCGGCAACUACGUGCCAGCAGCCGCGGUAA
rnacentral:rRNA from 1 species